rnacentral:rRNA from 1 species
AUUGAACGCUGGCGGCAGGCCUAACACAUGCAAGUCGAGCGGAGCGGCGGACGGGUGCGUAAUGCCAAGGAAUCUGCCUGGUAGUGGGGGAUGACGUCCGGAAACGGGAGCUAAUACCGCAUCCUAUCAGAUGAGCCUAGGCCGGGUUCGCUAGGUGGUGGGGGAAAGGCCUACCAAGGCGACGAUCCGUAACUGGUCUGAGCGGAUGAACAGGCACAAGGGAACUGAGACACGGUCCAGAAUCCUACGGGAGGCAGCAGUGGGGAAUAUUGGAAAAGUGGGGAAAGCCUGAUCCCGCCAGGCCGCGUGUGGGAAGAAGGUUUGCGGGUUGUAAAGGACUUUAAGUUGGGAGGCGUUACCAACAGAAUAAGCACCGGCUAACUUCGUGCCAGCAGCCGCGGUAAUAC